GGCCUGCUGGUCUAGUGGUAUGAUUCUCGCUUAGGGUGCGAGAGGUCACGGGUUCGAUUCCCGUGUAGGCCC
rfam:Blastocystis sp. NandII AV274scaffold_107, whole genome shotgun sequence.